rnacentral:rRNA from 1 species
GAUGAACGCUGGCGGCGUGCCUAAUACAUGCAAGUCGAGCGAACGGACGAGAAGCUUGCUUCUCUGAUGUUAGCGGCGGACGGGUGAGUAACACGUGGAUAACCUACCUAUAAGACUGGGAUAACUUCGGGAAACCGGAGCUAAUACCGGAUAAUAUUUUGAACCGCAUGGUUCAAGAGUGAAAGACGGCCUUGCUGUCACUUAUAGAUGGAUCCGCGCUGCAUUAGCUAGUUGGUAAGGUAACGGCUUACCAAGGCAACGAUGCAUAGCCGACCUGAGAGGGUGAUCGGCCACACUGGAACUGAGACACGGUCCAGACUCCUACGGGAGGCAGCAGUAGGGAAUCUUGGGCAAUGGGCGAAAGCCUGACGCAGCAACACCGCGUGAGUGAUGAAGGUCUUCGGAUCGUAAAACUCUGUUAUUAGGGAAGAACAUAUGUGUAAGUAACUGUGGACAUCUUGACGGUACCUAAUCAGAAAGCCACGGCUAACUACGUG